rnacentral:rRNA from 2 species
CGACCUGAGCUCAGGCAAGACUACCC